GGCUCGGUAGUGGAUGGUCCACACUGGCAUUAUCUGCAAGGUCUUGUCGUGUUUCGCCAGAUGAGCCUGUUCGAAUCAGGCCCGGGUCA